UAUAAAACAAAUAAUGAAUGUUUUUAUUCGUGCAAUGGUAAGAAUAUUUUCAUUCGGUGAAAGAUGGAAUGUUCCAUUCAACUCGGCUGUCGCCUCGUUAAGGUUGAAUCACCUCAUGAAAAUAUUCUUACCAUUGCACGAAUAAAAACAUUCAUUAUUUGUAUAAUC
rnacentral:miRNA from 1 species